GCCUUGGUGGUAAUUAGCGACGUCGUUGAGUCUUGUGCUAUUAUCGUAUAAGCUAAGGUACUCAGGGGAACAUGGGGAAAAAUGCGAAGAGAGAAAACUAAAUGGCUAGAGUUGAAAAUAAGGAGUUUAAAUAAAAUGCUAUUUAAAUUUUAGACAUUUCUAUUUUCGUUAAGACCGUUGUGUGGUUUUAGAUUUUUAAACCUUUGGAGAUAAUGUUUUAUCUGAGUUAAGUUUUAAA